rnacentral:lncRNA from 1 species
UAACUAAUAACUAUGAUAUUUUGAAGUGAGGCUUCUAUUAAGAAAACAAAAAGGGUCAAAUAGAAGCCACUGAUUUGGGGAUUAUAUUAUUUACAUAUUUCAUAGAAUUUCUCUCUUUUUUCUUCAUGCAGACAGUUGCCAUCUAAAGAUACAUUUAAAGCUUGCCCUUCCUUUGGGAGAACAUAUGAGGUGACAUUACCUCAGAGAACAAAGAACCCUGGGUUUGUCCUGCCUCUCGUUUGGCCUUGCAUAAGAAGACUAAACUCAGGAUGUUUUUGGGGCCGUUGACAAGCUAGCCACUUUUGGAGUAAGACCAGAGCCAGAACUCUGACUUCCCAGACCUAUGGUGAUCCUUCCUCAGUGAAGACAGAUAAUGAGGUGGAUGGAAGGUAUGGAGACUCUAGGACAUCACCCCUCAUAGAAGGUCCUCAAUAUUUUCUACAGAUGUUGACUCAGAUGCAAACAGAUAAGUAUACAAAAUAUAAUAAUCACUUAUUAGAGCAAAA